GCACCGUUAGCUUAGUGGUAGAGCGCCACCUUGACACGGUGGAGGUCAGAGGUUCAAGUCCUCUACGGUGCA
rfam:Verrucomicrobia subdivision 6 bacterium BACL9 MAG-120924-bin69 contig00576_1_120924-bin69, whole genome shotgun sequence.